GCCACUACACUUCUUAUGGCUGCGUCUGGCUGAAUAAUGCUACAAGAAAAAUCAGAACAACGACAAAGGGGGUGUUUCCACUUGGAUUAAAAAGUCACGGAUUAAGGUAUUUUGGGCGUAUUUCCAGUGCGGAUUAAGGCCAGGGAUUAACCCUCUGUCCUCCAUCGAUACUUGCUCAAACGGCUAAGUUGUUGGCAAAGUUACCUCGCCUUUUCAACCUUUGGUUCCCUUAUGGAACAAAACUAUGUGGUAAGCUCGUACCAAGGACUUCCGUGCCCUAAUCCCUGGCCUUAAUCCGCACUGGAAAUGCACCCUUAUAAUCCGCACCAACCCGCCGCUAAGUCACGGGAACGUUUCAUUGCACUGCGGAAAACGAUAAGAUAUUUAUCUAUGCACUUGCAAGGUCAAGUCGGAGGCCCCAAGCCCGGGCCCGAUGUGCCAGGCGUCCAAAGUUACAUACGUGUGUUACAGCACUCGUGGAACGGACCUAUCCUAGGAUCCCACUUAUCUGCUUAGUAAUUACUUAGAGGCAUCUUGGUACCAACUACAGCGAUACUUACCAACGGCGAUAAGAGCUUCGUAUGUCGCAGCUCUACUAACUGCCUAACACACGAAGUAACUUAAAUAACUUUUUUCUUAUCUCACUAAAAUAAGCAAGAAUGUUACAAAAGCACUUGCAGCAACAUAUUUAGCUUACAUCAGCCCUAUGGGCCCCAGUGGAGACUGGUGGAGACGGCUGUCGACAAGGAGGAAAAUAAGUACUGUGGUGGGCCGUGCGCUGCACUAGAGACUAACAAGACAAACUAGACUCCCACCCAAAUGAGACAACGCAAGUCAUCUAGACAGCCAAAAGCGCGACCAAAGAGAAGGCUCAGAACCCACAAUCAUCAUUGACAUAAGGCUGAGCCCCCAAAGACUCCAAGAAUUCAAAAAAAAUAAAGUAGAAAUUGGUGAUAAAAUUGGUGAUAGCCAAUCGUCCAUCGGUGACCGAUCCCGUGUACAUAACAACUUGCCUGAUGCAAUUCGCAAGGGGUUGUUGUAGUAUCCUGGGUAUCACGGGAUUUGUCAUCCGCCGAUCGGUUCUUUCCUGCAAAAAGACGUGAUACAACAGUCGUCUGUGAAACACUUUUAUCGUUUACGGACCCAGCGUGCCCUGGUAUAAUAAAUACGGACUAUCCCUAUCUGUUAUCCUAGGAUACGCAUCUAACUUUAGACGAC
rnacentral:lncRNA from 1 species